CGCAUCUGUGCAUGCAGCAUAUCAAUAAGCGGAGGAAAAGAAACUAACAAGGAUUCCCCUAGUAACGGCGAGUGAAGCGGGAAGAGCUCAAAUUUGAAAUCUUAAAGGGUUUCCCUUUACGAAUUGUAGUUUAAAGAAGUGUUUUCUGUUGAGGUUUUGGUAAAAGUUCUUUGGAAUAGGACAUCAUAGAGGGUGAGAAUCCCGUAUUUGACCUUUACUUUCAACUUUGUGAUACACUUUCAAAGAGUCGGAUUGUUUGGGAAUGCAGUCCAAAAUGGGUGGUAAAUUUCAUCUAAAGCUAAAUAUUGGCGAGAGACCGAUAGCGAACAAGUACCGUGAGGGAAAGAUGAAAAGAACUUUGAAAAGAGAGUUAAACAGUACGUGAAAUUGUCAAAAGGGAAGCGUUUGACACCAGUGUUGUUUUUCUGAAAAUCAAUUAAAGAACUGUUUAUGCUAAGCUGUUUAGACUUUAUCAGCUAAUCUGUUUAGUUUUGAGCUUUUCUUUAAUGCACUUUUCAGUUAACAAGUCAACAUCAAUUUCUUUUGCUGUAAAAAAGCUUGAGGAAGGUGGCUUGAGAUUCGUCUUAAGUGUUUAUAGCCUCUUGCCUAGUGCAGUCGGAGAGAUUGAGGUCUGCAGCGUAGAUCCUUCGGGGCUAAAUGCAUUUGUGCUAAGUUAUAGCAUUUUAUAGACAACUUGUUGACUAUGAUUUGUCUUGUAGCUUACACGCUUAUGUUAUUUUACCUACGCUUAGGAUGUUGAGUCGUAGAGCACGCAG
rnacentral:rRNA from 1 species